rnacentral:rRNA from 1 species
GACGAACCGAGCGACCGUUAUUCGGAAUCACUGGGCUUAAAGGGCGCGUAGGCGGGCCGUCAAGUCAGGGGUGAAAGCCCCCAGCUCAACUGGGGAAGUGCCUCUGAUACUGACGGUCUCGAGGGAGAUAGGGGCGUGCGGAACUUCCGGUGGAGCGGUGAAAUGCGUAGAUAUCGGAAGGAACACCGGUGGCGAAAGCGGCGCGCUGGAUCUCUUCUGACGCUGAGGCGCGAAAGCCAGGGGAGCGAACGGG